rnacentral:rRNA from 1 species
UACGUAGGGGGCGAGCGUUGUCCGGAUUCAUUGGGCGUAAAGCGCGCGUAGGCGGCUUCGUAAGUCGGCCGUGAAAUCUCCAGGCUUAACCUGGAGGGGUCGGGCGAGACUGCGGAGCUCGAGGUGGGCAGAGGGCAGUGGAAUUCCGGGUGUAGUGGUGGAAUGCGUAGAGAUCCGGAGGAACACCAGUGGCGAAGGCGGCUGCCUGGGCCUGGCCUGACGCUGAGGCGCGAAAGCGUGGGGAGCGAGCCGG